rnacentral:rRNA from 1 species
UACGAAGGGUGCAAGCGUUACUCGGAAUUACUGGGCGUAAAGGGUGCGUAGGUGGUUGUUUAAGUCUGCUGUGAAAGCCCCGGGCUCAACCUGGGAAUGGCAGUGGAUACUGGACAGCUAGAGUGCGGUAGAGGGUAGUGGAAUUCCCGGUGUAGCAGUGAAAUGCGUAGAGAUCAGCAGGAACACCCGUGGCGAAGGCGGCUUCCUGGGCCGCGCCUGACGCUGAGACGCGAAAGCGUGGGGAGCGAACGGG